rnacentral:rRNA from 1 species
AGAGUUUGAUCAUGGCUCAGAACGAACGCUGGCGGCAGGCCUAACACAUGCAAGUCGAACGAUAAGCCACCUUCGGGUGGUGGACAGUGGCAGACGGGUGAGUAACGCGUGGGAACGUGCCUUUCGGUUCGGAAUAACCCAGGGAAACUUGGGCUAAUACCGGAUACGCCCUUCGGGGGAAAGAUUCAUUGCCGAAAGAUCGGCCCGCGUCGGAUUAGCUAGUUGGUGGGGUAAUGGCUCACCAAGGCGACGAUCCGUAGCUGGUCUGAGAGGAUGACCAGCCACACUGGGACUGAGACACGGCCCAGACUCCUACGGGAGGCAGCAGUGGGGAAUAUUGGACAAUGGGCGCAAGCCUGAUCCAGCCAUGCCGCGUGGGUGAAGAAGGCCUUAGGGUUGUAAACCCCUUUCAGCGGGGAAGAUAAUGACGGUACCCGCAGAAGA